AGCAGUAGCCACGGGAACACGAAGGGUGCAAGCGUUAAUCGGAAUUACUGGGUGUAAAGCGUGCGUAGGCGGUGAGUUAAGUCUGCUGUGAAAUCCCCGGGCUCAACCUGGGAAUGGCAGUGGAUACUGGCUCGCUAGAGUGUGUCAGAGGAUGGUGGAAUUCCCGGUGUAGCGGUGAAAUGCGUAGAGAUCGGGAGGAACAUCAGUGGCGAAGGCGGCCAUCUGGGACAACACUGACGCUGAGGCACGAAAGCGUGGGGAGCAAACAGGAUUAGAUACCCCGGUAGUCCCUGUCUCUUAUAA
rnacentral:rRNA from 1 species